rnacentral:lncRNA from 1 species
AUAUCCUUCAUCUUUAUGCUGCUCCACUCCAGCUCACAGCCCCUCCAACUGGAUGGAGCUCUUCGAAGGGAGGGGCAUUUCAGAGGAGGGUCUCAGGGAUAGCCCCUUUGUGGGGCUGGGCCACCAGGUUGGGGAGAGUGGAGCUGCUGGAACUCUGGAGGGACUGGCUGAGCCAGCUUUCCCAGUGCACCCCUCUGGGAGGGCAGGCUCUCGGUGUAGGCUGCCCAUCUCCUCGCUCUCCUCUGGCACUGCUCCUAUGCCCCCUUGGUUAGCCUGGGAGCCCAUACUACCCAGACUUGGGGUCAAUAAGCAGAGGACCUGUAAGGAGUCCUUGAUGGGAUGUACAGCACUGCCCAACCCUGCACAAGGUAGGGUAUUGCUGUUUGUUGUGUGGUGAGCUGCCUGCUUAUGGCUGGGUUUGGGCCUCCAUCCAUUUUUAUUUUCUUUGAGUUGGUCUCUGGGCAAAGCUUCUCCCAGCAGGCGGAAUCUGGCCUGGGGGCUCCAGCUUCUCUCACCUGCCUGGCCUCCCAAGAGCUAGAGAGCUCCACAUCUCAACUCAUCUAUAACUCAUUAGCAGAACCAUCAGCUAGCAGAAACUAGGAAUAAUAAAAAUGUGCCGUAUUUUCACAAGCUGGAUGCCAGGCUUGGUGGUCAGGACACAGACUGCUUUCAGCUCCCACAUGCCCCUCCUGCUAGCUGCUUUGUGCAGAGUAGUGGCUACAUGGCUGCAGGUGAGAGCCCUGCCUGUGAACAGGCCACCAGGAUGCUGGGACAUACGAGUUGAUAACCCAUGGGCUCCUGAGAGCAGAGAUUGUGACUUACUCAUCUUUGAUGUAGCCAAGUUCUAACAAACCUAAAUGUGCAGCCAUUUGUAAGAGAGGAUCAUGGAAUGAAUACGGGCAUUGAGUCAAGCAGUCUGUGUUCCACUGGCGGUGUGACCUGGGGCAGGCCAUUUCACCUCACUGAGCCUUAGUUUCCUCACCUGUAAAAUGUGAAAAAUAUCACCUUCCUUACCAGGCUUUUCUGAGGAUUUAAUGACAUCAUGUUCAGUGCCCAGUAUGGGUGGAUAAUACCCAGGAGUUUCCUCCUCUUCUCCUCCUAAGUUGACUUGAUGCCCCCCGCUGAAGAUCAUGGCUGAACUGGCUCAAUUCGGAUCCAGGACUCCUGGCUUUGUCUCUUCCCUAGUUGCCCACCACACCCAUGGACACCCUUAGGUAGUUUAUCCUUUUGGGACAACUGGAUUUAUUAGAAAAGGGUAUUCUGGGGUGGAAUAAGGCCCUUUUCAGUCCCCAUGGAGCCUUUUUGGAAGAUGAAGUUCUCAAACCCACAAGAGAAUUCAUAAGACGAGCACACCACCCACAGUUAGGUUUCCCUCUCAAGUGCUUUAUCUCCACGUGGGGCAAAUAGCUCUUUGUCUGCAUAUGUUAUUGGAGCUUUUGGAGUCCAGCCUUCAGAAGAGCUCUAAUUUUUGGAUUCAUAUCAGUUUAUUAGAGAAGCCUAGUUCUAAGGAUUAGCAAAUGGGUAGGUGCUCAGCCAGCCCAGAACAAGCAGAGCCAUGACAGAAGUUUCUGGAAUCUCACAGAGUCGGUGUCUUCAUGGACUCAGGGGGCCUAAAUCCAAUAGCCUGGAUUUGUCACUUUCCCUUAUUCCCUUAUCAAACUCUUCCCUUUUGGACAUCAGAGAAGGAAAGUACUUCCUGUAAGGGGGCAAUUUGCAAAGCUUCAUGGAAGUGGCAUUUGAGUGUGGCCUUAAAGGAUGUGUAGGAUUGGGAACCAUAGAUAUUUAGAGGAAGGCAUUCCUGGCAGAAGGAACAGCAGCAAAACACAGAAGUGGAAAUUAGUAGCAGCAUUAAUGGAGAAUAAUUUGGGGAAUAAGAUAUACAAAUGGAAUAAUAAAAAUAGCAUUAAUUAAACAUUGUGGGAGUCAUUCUGUAAGAUGGCCCCUGGUG